CGGAGAUUAGCUCAGUCUGUCUAGAGCGUCGAACUCGGACUUCGAAGGCCAUCCGUUAAAAUCGGGUAUCUCCGACAA
rnacentral:tRNA from 1 species